rnacentral:lncRNA from 1 species
AAAAAAUAAAUUUAAUAUAACAUCUAUCGGGUUCAAGCCGGUCCUCUCUCCUCUCUUCCUCCUCUUGGCGAAGCCCCUGGAUCUCGUCCUGUUUGUAGAUAGCUUGAAAUCGUCUAUUGAGCUUCUUGUAUACACAUCAGAUCGUUUCUACUUUCAUGUUUUCUCUCAGAAUCAGUUAUUUGUAAAGGUUAAUGAAUCUUAACCCUAGUUUUUUUUAUAAGAAUUUGGUCUUUAUUUGUUUUUGAUUGUCACCGCCUCUGUAUUAGUUUUGCUUGUAUUUUACUGAACUUUAUGUGAUACUUUAUGGUACCUUAGUUCAGAUAUUACAGAGUUUUGGUUCUAAUGAAUUAAUUUUGAAUCUUAUGUUCUAUAUACGUCUGUGAUACGUUGAUUUUGAAUUCAAUGAUUAUUUUCUUACUUGAUUUUGCUUAUUUAUGGUGUUUGAUAUAUCUGGGCUUCCAGCUACAUUUCUUCCAAGUCUAAGGUUAAUGGAACCGUAGAUCUGUUUUUCCUUGUCUGCACUGUUGUUAGCCCAAAAAAGGAAAUAAUGUCUCCCCACAUUAUUCGUUCUUAUUUAAUUGCUUUGGCCGUACAUCUACACAUGCUAGAAAAUACUUUGGUGAGCUGCAACAAGUAAAUAAGUGUCUUGUUUUGACAUGUAUCAAUUCUGUUUGCACAUGUACAUAUGAUAUGAAAAUUGAUUCCAGUAGGAAGAACUAAUAAGUAAACCAUCUAUAUAAUAAAUCAGGACCAAUUUUGAAUCUUUACAUUUGAGAAACCACAACAACAUCCCAGAUUUGAUCUCACUUAAUCUAAAGGCUCAUGUUUCAUCCUACACUAAAAAAAAAUCACGCCCAAACUCACCCUUACAUCACACGCUACCCCUCCCUAAUCUUUUCUUCUCUAUCCCGCCCAAAUCUUUGCUUCUGUCUCUUCUCUCUCUGAAAUUUGGCAAAAUUUCUCAAAUCUUUCCUUCUCUCUCUUCUAUCUCUGCAUAGCAAAAUUUGGGGAAAUGAAUAGCGAGAUCACUUCCGUCAGAGGAGGGAGAGGUCGGUCAUGGCCGUCAACAACAUCCAUAUCGUCAGCUCCCGAUUCCUCUGUUGCCCCCUGGUUUGUUUAUUCCAUUUUAUGAAAAGGGUUAUUCAAGUUUAUUCAAUUUUAUAACACUUACCUUCAUAAGACACCUCGAAGCGUGCGGGAGGCAUUUCAAGGUGUUCUCUCUUUGGGCUUUGUGGAGGUUUUGGUCUAUAACACCUACCACUCCCCCAUUUCAUCUUCAUCGUCUUCUACAAGUGUUCCGUUGUUCAAGUACUUCACCAACAUUUCCCUCGAUUCGUUCCAAAAAUCCCUCGCAGUUUCCUCCUUAGGCGCUUUCCUUUGCGCCCAACAGGUAAGCUACUUCUUAAUUCUUUCAACUAAUUAAUAGAGACGAAAUUAAAUAUUGGGUUUGGGUUUGAAUUACCUACUGAAGGUAUUGCCGGGAAUGGUGGAGAGGGGAAGAGGGACGAUUCUAUUUACCGGCUGUUCUGCUUCUCUAAAUGGCAUAUCUGGUUACUCUGAUUUCUGUAUGUAUUAUUAGCUUCAUUACUGAUGAUUAUGAUUUGAUUAGAUAAAUACUCCCAGGUUGUUUAUCUGUAUAUGAAUAAGUUGGUGAAUGUAAGUACAGGUUGUGGGAAGUUUGCUCUGAGGGGAUUAUCACAAUGUCUUACGAGGGAGUUUCAUCCUCUGGGAGUUCACGUUGCUCACGUUAUCAUCCACGACAUCCUCGCCCCACCAAGGUUAUUUAAUUUAAUUACCCACUACCCCCCAUUCCUUGAGUUUUUUGUUUCUUUAUUUUUAAUCCCAAUUCUAAUAUACUCCUUUGGGUUUUAAAAUUAUAGAUGCAUUUUGUUUUUCUUUUCUGUAUGUUAUAAACUAAUAUAAAUUUAAAGUUUUUAGAUUAUACUACUAUAAUCUUCAAUACUUCUAAUCUUAGUUACAUGUGUACUAUUAAGUUUUAAAAAAUAAAAAUUAUUCUUAAUAAUCAUCUUUUUAUAAAUUAAUCUUUAAUUAUAAAAGGGAUGGAGUACCCAUAAUAAGUGCCUAGCUAGAUUCUAUCAACGGGUCCAGAAUCUAACUUUUAAAUUAAAGGAAUCAGAAUCUGACUUUUAAAUGAAAGGAAGAUGGGCAGAGAUCGACAGGCAUCUUUCUCUUUGUUUCUCUACCAUAUUUAGGCCAUGUGCGUGCAGUAAAUUAGACAGGUACUUAUUUUAGAACAAACAAAAAUUAGAAUCAAUUUUUCUCUUGGCAAAGGUGAUUCUCAAAACAAAGUUUAGUUAGUUAGGUAGUUGAUAAAGGGAUGGAUGUUUUUAAUUAGGGCACCUCAAUUUGACAUUUGCUAGCACCAAAAUUCUGGGAUGCCAGUUGCAGAACUUAACAUGUCUCUUUCUUUCUUAAUUUAUGCCUACCACGGAACAUAGCUCACCGCCCCUUGAACAACCAACCAUCAGCUCACAUACUUUCUGUCUAAUGAUUAUUUAAAAAAUACAAUUGAUUUAGUCUUUCCAUUUUUUUGAACAGAGCUCACCUUCCCUUGAUUUUAUUUGUAAAUUUAUAUAUUUUAGUCUCGCCAUUAUUUUAGAUUUCUUUCUUUUUCUGCAUUAUUCAUGUUUAUUGACCUUUCUUUUUCUGCUCAUUAGUGCAGCCUGAGUUAGUAGAAGGUAAAAGUAUAUAUUAGUGCAGCCUGAGUUAGAAAGUUUCAUGUAUAUAUUGUUUUGCAAAUGAGUAAGGUUGGUAAGUUGGGUUAGUCUUAAAAUCAAUUGGUGUAUUAUAUUAGGAAGUUUCAUGGUCAUAUUAUAUGUUGGAGUUAUGAUUGAUUGUGAUAGUUGGUUGCUAUGGACCAGAAAUAGAAUGGCAAUGGUACGAAGCACUAUUUUGACAUAGUGCUUGACAAAAUUACGCAAUGGAGAAUCAAAAGUUAAUAUAUUGAGCCACUAUGAAGCACUAUUUUGUGCAAAUGUUUCAUAAACCAUGGUCUUCAUUUAUAAUCCUUUGUUGGUUAAAGAUACUCCAUUCUUUUUUAAAUUGUAGAUAUACUCCAUUCUAAGAAACGUGCACCCUUUUUACUAUAUAUAUUGCCUUUUUUUUACAAAAAAAGAUGCAUAUCUUUUAAGACUAUUAAAUGACAUGGUAUUCUUUAUUUGUCCCUACUUUUUACAAUUAUUUUUAUCAUUACAUAAUUAUUUUAGAGAUGCAUUCUAUUAAAAUUAAAAUUUAAAAAAAUUGAUUUUGGAACAAAAGGAUAUGUGACGAGACUUAUUUUAUUCUAGCAACAAUUAUCACAUUAACAUUGUGUUUGUGUUAUUUACCCAAAAUUCAGUGUAAAUGGGCUAAUAUAUUGCAAGUUAUAAAUUGGUGAAAUAAGAAGGUCAGAAAAGAAGCUGCUGCCCAAUUGCAGCAGCAAGUAGCAAUCAUCAGUAGCAGCUUUGGCUGUGUUAAUGAGCCAUUUUGAUUUAAUUGAUAGUUACCCAUAAGGUUUAGGUUUAGGUUACCCAUAAGUACAUGAGAGGGCAUCUAACUUUGGGGUUGUUAAGCUAACUUUAGGGCAGUUAAGAUAAGUAAGGGGUUGUUACUGUUUUGAAAUCAUUUUGAGUCACGAUAGUAUUUAACGCGAUAGUUUAUAAAAUUCCAAAUAAUUUUGAAAAUUUCAAGUCCAAGCACACCAUCAUAUUGGUAAGGAAAUUUAGUCGAAUCAAUGGGAGGAAGAGGAGGAGGAGAUAGGGACACUGUGUGGGCUAGCAAGUGGUAGCAAUCGCAAGACCAUUUAUUUUACAUUAAUCCAUUGAUUAAUGUGGUUAAUUAGCUAUGGCAAGUGCAUAGAGCCAAACCCAUGUCAAAGAAGCAUGCAUAGAAGCUUUGUAGCAAACUGGACCAACCAUAUAAUUAAACAACAAUUUGUUAAAAGAUAAUUGUCACAAAAAUAGUUAGAGAAACCCCAAUCGCACUAAAAAAAACCCCACAAUUUGUUGCCUACAAAGAACUACCUCUCAGUACAACCUUUCGAGAGGGUCAUGUGUGCCAGUAUAACAAACACCACUGAUUGUGCAAUUAAAACUGUACCAAUUUGCAUAAGAAAUAUUUAUGCUUCCAUUAUUGACCUUUUUAAUUAAUUAUGUUUUCAGGAUGUGUGGAAAUUUCUUUAAUUGUUAUUCUUCAGUUUGUGGUGGUUUAUAUUAUGGUUUAUUAUGUCGAUUACUGAAGGCGUAAUUGAAAAGUUUUGGGUGUUUUAAAUUUGGGUGUUUAGAUUUGUUUUAAAUUUGUGUUCUCACACACUCUCUCUCUCUCCCUCUCUCUCUUUCACAGCAAUAGCACGCACACACACAACAACACACAUUUGGGUGUCUUUUAAUUUGGCUGUUUUUAUUUUUAUUAUGAAAAAUAGGUUUAAGUUUUAUUAUGCAUGUUAGAAUGGAUGUUGAGUUGGUUAUUAUUGAGUGUUCAUUUUGUGAAAUUUGUAGGCUAAUUUAGGUUGUCCUUUUCCUUAAUUUUGGUUCUGGAAAUUAGAUGUGUAUAUACUUUUGUGCAUGUAUUAUGUUUGAUUAAAUGCAUGUUAAUUGUAUGAAAUUUAUUGUGUAGCUACAACCGUUUCAACUGCACAAUCAUCGACCAAUGGAUGAUGUUGUUAUAUUUGGUAGUGUAAGUUUAUCAUCUAAUUAACUUAUCUAAAUAUAUCUUAUUGAUUUUUUUAAUAACUUAAUUGUUUUAAUUUAUUUUCAUUAAUGUCGUGACAGAUGGAUAGCAACUUAGAAAAUACCGUAUGAUAAGUUUUUUUUACUCAUCAUUUUCUUAUCUUUUAUCUAAUCUUUUUACCCACUUAUUUACUAUUCAUUAUUUUUUUGUCUACAGGUUCGAAGAUUUCGUCAUAAUAAUGUAGGAGUCGUAAUUCGUAACGAGUAUGAACUAAAUUGUCUCCGUAUACGUGAGGUAGUGUAUCCUCACACCUAAUUCUCAUUCAUUUUUUCUUAUUUCUUAUUUCUUUUUUUCCUUUUAAGUAGCGUUUUGUUACACAGAAGGAGAACAAAAGAUUUGAUACUUUGUCGAAUGCCAAAUUUAAGGGGAAAGAAAAAGCAACCUCUUCUAGCCAAGGAACAAAAAAUAAAGAUUGCCAACUGGUAUCACUUUUAAUCCUAUUCUUCUCUCUUUUUUACAAUGAAUUUGGAUAUUGAAUUUAAAAAAUUUUAAGUUUCGUUUUAUGUAAAACGUUUGCUUUGUCAAUAUGUUUUUGGUUUGCCUCAUUUAUAGAUAAUCUUUUUUAUCGUGUUAUUCUGUGUAUACCAGUUUUGUAGCCUUUAAGCUUUUGUUAUGACAUAGAUGUUGUUGGGUCCCAUUUUUUUAAACUCAAAAUUCUUUUGAACAUUCCAUAAUUUGAAGCAUCGAUCAAUAGUGAAACCUCAACCUUAUUUAUAGCAUACCUUUCAAGCUGUUAAAUUCAAUAUGCUAUUGAUCAAGUAUAUUACUAUAGAACAUUAGUAAACAAUAUGUUGGAUGCAACUGUGGCUAUGUUGUUUUAUUUUUUGCAUCAAACAAAACUUUUAUUAUAAUUAUAAUGUUCAUAGAUGGUUAGGUAGAUAGUUUUGUUAAUGCAACACUUUAUUGUCAUGUUACCUCAUAUUCAAAAUCAACCAAAUGUCAAUUAAGACAACUUGCACGUUAAAUCAGCAAAAUAAUAAUUACUUUUUUAUGAGUUUGUGGUUUAGGCACCAAACUAUAAUGUUAUAUCAAAAUCAACAUUACCGCAAUGUGCAAGGCUUGCUGCACAAAUGCGUAAUGCUGGGAAAGAAAAUAUGUGCUCCAAACGUCAAUUGGAACAACUUGCACGUCACGAAAGAGAGCGAUCAAAACAUUGUGUCCCCGUUCAGCCUAGAUUUUUUCCUUCUUUACCACCGAGUCAUCGUCGCCGAGUAUGCUUAGAACGAGAAUCAAAUAAAAGGUCCCGUCUUCAACCAAUGACUUUGACUACCAAAAUUUCUCAUCCUAUAACGGACAGUAUAGUGACAACAAAUAUUUUAGAGUCAUCGUCAACCACCUUCCUUCAAAUCUUAAUGAAGACACUACAACAGAUGUUUCACGGUGGUUGUCUGUGGCCAUCAUGAAUCUAGAAAAUCCUCCUCAAAAUCUUGAAGAAGGCACACCAACAAAUAUCUCAAGGGUGUCGCCUGUGACUACCAUGCUCCAAGACUUACCUCAACAACAGUCUUGGAACCAUUCUCCACAUGUUCCCCAGUGGCAUCGUAUAAUUCGAAUGAAGACACCAGGUGUUUGCUAUAAGUUUUAAAUUUGUAUUCAAUUUAUAUAUAAUCAAAUUGUAUGACAUCUAUAAUUUAUCUGUAGUGCCUACAGAGUAGAAGGUGUAAUUAUGGAUGUUGCACUUAAUCCUCGAAACCAUGAAAUUCCAAAUCAUCAUUUCCUCGGCUUGAUGAAUCGAACAUGUCCUCAUUAUUCUGCCUUACACUAGCUUGCUGAAAAAUUAACAAAAUCAUCUGUAUCAAAUCCUUUCUUUGGUAAAUGUUGUUUACAAGGAAAAAUUAGAUUACCUCCACUUAUUGCACCUCCUUUAAUGCUUAAAGCAUUGUAUGAAGACAAUGAUGAAAAGUCAAAAUCGUUUCGUCAGCACACACGAGAAUAUAAUGCAACUAAUGCAUUUACGAGUCUUGGUGCUACUUUGGAUGACAAAUUAAUUAUUGGGUGGGGGCCUAGAACAUUCACCAUCCAUGGAGAAUUACGCCAUCGAACAGGAUCGCUUAUGUCUGAAGGUGAAAUGCCUGAUGGUGAUGUGCUUGAUCAUACCAUUAGGAAUCGAUAUCCUAAUGAGUACUUAAACUCGCUGAAUCCUUCAGGGUUGCCACCGUUUAAAUUGGAGUUGAAAGUUGGAUGCCCAAUAAUGUUGUUACGAAAUAUUGCACCGAAAGAUGGACUUUGUAAUGGCACGCGAUUGAUGGUUGUUAGAUGUGCCUCAAGGGUAAUCGAAGCUCGGAUAUUAAAUGGAGAUAAAAUUGGCAAUUUAGUAUUCAUUCCGAGAAUAUCAUUAACACCAACAUCUUUGGACUUUGCUUUUCGAAUGAUAAGACGUUUUCCUAUCCGAUUAACUUAUGCUAUGACAAUCAAUAAAGCCCAAGGACAAUCUGUCAAGUUCAUUGGGAUUGAUUUGCGAACACCUGUUUUUAGUCAUGGACACCUUUAUGUGGCACUAUCUAGAUGCACAUCUUUGGAUCGUAUUACUGUCCUCCUUCCGGAACAUGGGUUGAAUUGCACCACAAAUAUUGUUUACCCAGAAGUUUUGUUGUGAUAUUUUUACGACAAGUAAAUGGUAUAGUUUAAACAAGUUUAUUUCUACUGAAUUAUGUAAUCUUUUCAACAUUUAAUUUUAUAAUGAGGUUCAUUCUUUGUAGGAUUGGAGUGAAUUUGUCAACGAGAACAAUAGAGUAUAUACAAUGGACCACUAACCAAUGAUAUGCAAUCCAAUACUGACAAUGAUAUGCAAUCCAGUACUGACAAUGACCAAUGGAGUGAAUUUGUCAACGAGAAUAAUUUGUCAAUGAGAACAAUGAUAUGCAAUUCAGUACUGACAUGUCCACCACUGACCAAACAAUUGUCUAGGUGUGAAAGUCUCUCUUACUAAGACUAUAUUUCUCUACUUCUCAUGCAGACACACAACACACAUAACUGUAACCAAUCAAACACUCGCAAAUCAAACUCACACACCAUUAUACUGCCACCAAUACAUAUUUAUGGUACUAAGAAAACUUUAUUAUAACUUUAUUAUAAUCUCUCUAAAUUCUUACUUAUAUCAAUCUAAAUCAUCCCCCCCACUACAUACAAAUAUGUGUGCUUAUUUGUUUUUUAGAUAAUUCAGGGUAAAGUAAGGGGUCUUAUGUUUCGGAUUUACAAUUAUUUUAUUUUGACUCACAUAUUUUGAUAAAUUUUAAAUUUCAAAUAUUUUUAGGUAUAUAUUGAAGGAUGCUUGGUGUAAGCUGUAAAGAAUAUACUUGGUGUAAGCUGUAAAGUAAAGGGUUAUGCUCAACAUGUUGUUUCUCUAUUUUUGGCAUGUAUGUAUUUUUGUGUUCCGUCUUUUGUAAAGUUAGUUAAUUAUACAUUGUUAUGAUGAUUUUGGGUAUGGAAUGAUGGUUUUUUUGGUGGUUUGGAUAUGUAUGAAUGAUUGCAAGUUUCUUAAACAAGUUUAAAUUUUUCUGGAUAUUUAUUUUUAAAGUAAACUCUGUCGAAAUUUCUUGAAAUUAGUAGCGACUAGCUUGAUGUUUUGGUGGUUAGAUGUGUUAAUGAUUGAGUAUGUAUUAAUUUUUGCAUGUAUGUAUUUUUUGUAUUCCGUAUUUUGUAAAGUUAACUAAUUAUACAUGGUUAUGUUGAUUUUGGGUAUGAAAUAAUGGUUUUUUUGGUGGUUUGGAUAUAUAUGGAUGAUGGUAAGUUUUGUAGACAAGUUUAUAUUUGUCUGGAUAUCUAUUUUUAAAUGAAGCUCUGUCAAAAAAAUUUAAAAUUAGUAGCGACUAGCUUGAUGUUUUGGUGGUUAGAUGUGUUGAUGAUUGAGUAUGUAUUAAUUUCUGCAUGUGUGUAUUUUUUGUGUUUCAUAUUUUGUAAAGUUAACUAAUUAUAAAUAGUUAUGAUGAUUUUGGGUAUGAAAUGAUGGUUGUUUUGGUGGUUUUGUAGACAAGUUUAAAUUUUUUUAGAAAUCUAUUUUCGAAGAUAUCUAUUUUUGAUGUUUUGGUGGUUGGAUGUGUUGAGGAUUGAGUAUGUAUUAAUUAUUGUGGUGGUAUGGUGAAUUAUGAUAAUUUUUAUGUCUGAUUGUAAGUUAUUUUAGGUUGCAAAGAUGUAUUAUUCUUUGAAUUUUAAUUUAAUUUUUCGUUACAUCGUGCCUUCAGGCACGGGCAAUUACUAGUAAAUAAAUACAGUGAGUCAUUUUCAAGAAUAAACUCAAUUAUAUGGUGUAAAUUUUAAAUGAUUUCUAUUUUAUUGUAUGAUAAUGAUAGUUUAGGGACAAUUGCAAACCAAUUUCUAUAGCCAAAAAAUGCAGGACUAGUUGUUAAAAAUUUGUUUGGCGUGGGUGCAUCAGCUUGGUGUAAUUUGGUUGGGCAGUCUGCACCAGAUUGCUAGGGUGAUAUGCCUUCUAUUUCUGAAAUGAGUAAAUGAAAAUAAAAUUAGACUGACCCUUUAUGCUUUUAAUUGAUUAUAAAAUACCUUAUUUGUUAGCAUUCUGGUUGGAAGGCGUAUGAUGAUAAAAUUGUUUAUGUUCAUAGAGGUCAAAGCUAAAGCUAAUCCUAAUAUUACUGGUUUUCAUUUCUUAUUACUUGCAGUCUUGUUUAUUUGUUAGCAUUCUAAUUUGCAGUCUUCACCCUAGCCUAGUACCAAUUUUCCUAUUUUUUCAAUUAUUUUCGGCAAUUCAAGCUUUCAAAAUCAUGUCCUGCAUCAAAAUGUUUUUCAUGGAUGCUAGAUUCUUUCGUUGCUCUUUUCUAUAAUUUUUUAUGUUAGUUGAAUUGUUGUGAUCAAUUUUUAGAUGGAGGAGCCAUGAAUGAACUAUUAGAGAGACAAGACUAUAGGGGAAAAUGGCAAAAGAAGUUAACUGUUGACUUCAAAACCUAGGUAGCUGGCAAAUGUAAAUGGCAGCUUUUCUAGUGGUCCCUCGAACAAGAGAAAUGUAUUGAAGAACUACUGUCCUAUAGCAAUAAUUUUUAUAAAUUUUAAAAAAUAAAUUAUAUUCCAUUAGCAGGUCUUUAUUUGGUCAUUUAUGAUAAAAUUUUGGGGUUCCCUGGGUGUUGGAAUGUGUAAGUGGGUUAUUGGGCUUCCUUGACAAAGUAUAUAUCCACCUCCAAUCCGAUUACAAGUUACAAACUAUUCUUACCCAUUAUGUCCCAAUCCCUUCUGGUUCUUCUUGUUGCUUGACUUUCUAUUUCCAAAAACCACGACAAGCAGAAUGAUCAUAGGACAUGAAACCUUAUAUACAACUCUUACUUGGCUGCCCUAACCUGUGAGGGAGAUACUUUUGUUCUUAAAUUCAGGAAAAAGAAAUUAAAAAAUUUAUUUUAAAGUGUCGUAUUUUAUUGAAGUCUAACAACAAGAUUUAUGAAAGGGUUAGUGAUUAGCAAAACUAUAAGUUGUAUUAUGUUAUUAUUCUCAUAUUAGCAUGCCCUCCAGAAAAUUAAGUUAAAUCAUGAGCCUACUGCAUCAGUGACCCUUUAAUACCACAUGCUUCAUCUACUCUUUCAAUAUAUCUAAUACAUAUUCUUGAAAUGAUACUAGAACAUAUAUUAGAAGAAACUCACAAUAGACAAAUCAACAUGUUUGAUAUCUUCGGCUGAGUAGUCCUUUGUAAUGCCACCACCAUUAAAAUCCACCAUCUCAACCCUGAAAACCUCCCCAACUUUUACCCCUGCAACCGGCGGUAUAUCGGGGUGCCACCUGUUGUGAAGGGGAUGUUCUUGUUCCCAUGGCUUCUUCUUUACAUAUAUGGGCACAAUAAGCCUGGGACCAUGUUGAGCCAUUUACUCACUCUGUGUUAAGCAAACUUGAUGUAGCUUACCAAAGCCAAGGAAAAGAUAACUGAGUUCAAAAUCCUUCUCUGUUUACAAGAUUGACAUUAUUGAUAGACCAAAAUAGGUUUGGAUAUUUUUCCUCUCCUUACUGGAUGCACCACUUACACACCUUGACUGUUCUCACAACCAACUUUCUUGAUUGAAGGCAUCAACAGUGAUUGGACAUAUUAUUACUUUGUGUGUUACUAAUAUAUAUAACUAUUAUAUAGAUGGUAAAAAUAAAGCUUCUUUUAUAUAUGCAAUGUUCUUUUUGAGUUAGCACUGUUAUCAGUUUGUGAAAUUUAUAAUCUAUUGUAUGUGUUUUAUCUUAUUAAUAUUCCACGGUAUGCUUUUCGCUUGCUCUAAUUAUCCAUGUAGAGCCUUCAUUUUCAAAUGUUUCACUCAAUCAUCAGACCUGGCCUAUAUUAUGUUUGUUGCUUUUCCCUUCUUUUUUUUCCUCGGACAUAAUUGUUGUGCUCCACCAUGAAUAACCAUAAAAGGUCAAGUUUCUUCCUUGUUUUGUUAAUUAUUUUAAUUUUUAUAUCUAGUUUAGUAUCAAUUUUCUGUAGUACCUGGGUGUAUCAUGAUGCAUAUGUUUUAUUGGGAAUUUAAUGUUGCUGGUUAUAUAGCAAGUUGUGGUUCACAUCAACAACAUUUAUCCUUCGUGACAGUUACAUGUAGCUCUGCUUGAAAUGUGGGUUAUAAUAAAUUCCUUUUCUUUGUUCAAGGUUGGGGUUUAGGUCCAAUUUAAUAAUCUCUGUGAAAAUCACUUUACUGUUUUCAAAACUCUAAUCAAACUAUAAGGUUAUGAUAUAAAAGCUUCCAUGUCGAAAAGAUGUAUGUUAUUGGUUUGAUAUGUUGCUACUGCUUCUGUUAUUAUUUGGUCAUUAGUUUGCUGAUGGAACUCUUUUUGUUUUGUCUAGUUUGAGGACUCGAAAUGUAAUUUUCAACUACAGGUACUACAACAAUAAAUUGCAAAGGACUGAAGGUAUUAGAUUGUUUUUCUUCUUUCUGCUGGUUUCUAUACAUUUUUCCUACAUAUUCAGUCAAAGCUAGACGUGCAGAAAAUGGCUUGCAGCUAGUGUUACAUAUGAUGCUUAGAUAUUUACUUCUAUGAUUGUAAAUUGUGGUUUAGUCAGUGCCUGGAUGUCAAAAAUGUGCUCAUAUUAUGUAACACCCCAGUCCCACAUCGAAAGAUAAGGGAAAAAUUUGUCUGCAUAUAAGGAAAUAAGUUACUACCAAUAGUACCUUCAAGUCAUGACCUUUUGGGAGCCUGUGGUGGGCUAGAUGACCCAAGAAGAUACUAUUGGGCCAGUGGUUUGAGGCCUUAUUUGGAUGUAUUUGAUUCGAUUCGGCCCGAGUUCGGAACAAAUCUUGGGUCAAAUCCCAAGUCCGAAUCGAAUCAAAUCCAUCCAAAUAAGGCCUCAAACCACUGGCCCAAUAAUAUCUUCUUGGGUCAUCUAGCCCACCACAGGCUCCCAAAAGGUCAUGACUUGAAGGUACUAUUGGUAGUAACUUAUUUCCUUAUAUGCAGACAAAUUUUUCCCCUAUCUUUCGAUGUGGGACUGGGGUGUUACAAACUCCCCCACUUAAAUUUCUGACGUCCUUGUCAGAACCGAUCACACACACAGCCCAAAGAUCUUUGCCUCUCUAGCCAUUGUGGGAUAAUACCGGCUGGCUUCGUGUCUCCACCUCCGGACCUUCAUCUCUCCAUUGUGGGAUAAUACCACCAGCCUUCGUGUCCCCACCUCCGGCAACCCGAUCGGAUGACCCGACCCGAGCUUUCGAGAGUCGGCUCUGAUACCAUAUGAAACAACCCGGGUCAAAUCCCGAGUUCGAAACAAAUCUUGGGUCAAAUUCCAAGUCCGAAUCGAAUCAAAUCUAUCCAAAUAAGGCCUCAAACCACUGGCCCAAUAGUAUCUUCUUGGGUCAUCUAGCCCACCACAGGCUCCCAAAAGGUCAUGACUUGAAGGUACUAUUGGUAGUAACUUAUUUCUUUAUAUGCAGAUAAAUUUUUUUCCUAUCUUUCGAUGUGAGACUGGGGUGUUACAUAUUACCUCUAUAAACCUUUAUAUGAAGUCAAAUUGUUAGAUUUAGAAAGUAUUUGAUCAUAGUUUCUCCAAGUAAUUUUUUUUUUUUACUUUACUCACAAUUGUGAUGUCAUGCACUUCAAUGAACCACAACAAUAAUCAUAUCACUAUAAGAUAGAUGUAAUUUUCAAUUUUAUUAAGUACUCACUUUGUGUCGGUUUGAAUGACCCUACCCUUUAAAUUGUUCUUGGAACGGGGUUUGGAAAUAAACCAAAAAGUAUACAAGUAUUAUGCUGUUGAUAUAUUUAUAUUUUCAUCAUGUUAUGUUAUAUUAUAUUUUCAAUUAUAUAAAAACAUAACUUAUAUAUGUAACACCCUAGUCCCGCAUCAAAAGAUAUGAGAAAAAUUUGUUUGUGUAUAAGUAAUUGAAUUACUAACAAUAGUACCUUCAAGUUAUGAUCUUUUGACUAAGUUUGUGGUGGGCUAAGAUGACCCAAGAAGAUACUAUUGGGCCAGUGGUUUAAGGUUUUGUUUGGAUGAAUUUAAUUUGAUUCAGACUUCAGAUUUGACUCGAGAUUUGUUACUAUUAAAAUGUUCAGUUUAAUACUCCCUUUGGAACAAAUAUAAGAUUAUUGACUUCUUGAAGUCAAUUUGAGACAUUUUUUUUAUACUCGGAUAAAUUUAUUUAAUUUUUGUCAGUACAAUGAUGAAUAUUGUAAACUAGUUUAAAAGGUACUACUAAUUAUAAUAUUUGUAUUUUCAUAAAUUUUAAUGAAUCUUAUCAUUUGAGUUUAAAAAUAUCUCAAAUUGAUUUUUAAAAAUCAAUAAUAAUUUGGAAAUGGAAGGAGUAUUUAUCGAUGUGUGGUUAGUAACGUCAUGGACUACUGAGCUCAUAUAUUCUUCAUGGUGGUUAUUUAGUCCUAAAAAAUCUUAUGGCAUAAAAAGGUCAAUCUGCUAUGAACUUUUGAAAAACUAAUAAUAUAUAUUUUUGGCAAGUAUUGAAGAAUUGGUAAUUUGUUAUCCCAGAAUGCUGAUUGUGUUGAAGUCCCUUGUUACUUUAUUAGUCCUCUUUCAUGCAUGAUGUUCCAAAUUCCAAUUUGUUCAUUAUAUAGUACAUAGGAGACUAAAACCUAUUUUAGUCCCAGAAAAACAAACUCUUUAAUUGUAGGCCUAAAAAUAAUAUUUAUGUCAAAAUUUAACUAAUCUGUAUUCACAUGUGGACCACUUCAAAACUUGCUUGAGCCAACUAAAAUAUUCUUUAUUCUCAGGCAUUAGUGAGAGAACAUGGUAUGCCUUCUUAUGAUAUUGUGAUUGCCUAUUUGUCUUUUUCUGCUUAUGAGCAAUAUGGUGUACAUUGGUACCACGUAGCAAUUCUAUUGUCUUUUUGUAUUGAUUUUGACACUAAGUGCCUCUGGUGACCUAUUUACUUCAUUUUUCUGACUUGCUAUUAUUUUUAAAUAUGUGCAGGAAGAGUGCUUCUACGACCUGCCUUACAAUACUGGGUAUUAAAUUUUCAUACUACGUUUACGGAAGACAAGGGAUGAAAUUAUGAAGUGUACUCUCUCUAUAUAUGUAGAUAUAUACUUUGAUUGAAGAACUGUGGUAGCUUUAGAUGGUUAAUUGUAAAGAUAAUGAAUGAUUAUGUAGUGGAUGAUUUUAUUAAGUUAAUAAUAUUUUAGUUUUUUUAUUUUUACCAUUAUUUGCUAUGGGGACAUUGAGCUAGCCAGGU